rnacentral:tRNA from 1 species
GUCGCCGUAGCACAAUUGGUAGUGCGACGCACGCGUAAUGCGAAGGGUGUGGGUUCGAGUCCCACCGGCGAUA